rnacentral:rRNA from 1 species
UGGGGAAUAUUGCACAAUGGGCGCAAGCCUGAUGCAGCCAUGCCGCGUGUGUGAAGAAGGCCUUCGGGUUGUAAAGCACUUUCAGCGGGGAGGAAGGCGUUAAGGUUAAUAACCUUGGCGAUUGACGUUACCCGCAGAAGAAGCACCGGCUAACUGCGUGCCAGCAGCCGCGGUAAUACGGAGGGUGCAAGCGUUAAUCGGAAUUACUGGGCGUAAAGCGCACGCAGGCGGUUUGUUAAGUCGGAUGUGAAAUCCCCGGGCUCAACCUGGGAACUGCAUUCGAAACUGGCAGGCUAGAGUCUUGUAGAGGGGGGUAGAAUUCCAGGUGUAGCGGUGAAAUGCGUAGAGAUCUGGAGGAAUACCGGUGGCGAAGGCGGCCCCCUGGACAAAGACUGACGCUCAGGUGCGAAAGCGUGGGGAGCAAACAGG